AGAGUAUGUAGAUAUGUUGACUUCAGAAUGAAAUUACUAUGGAAACAACAAACAAAGAGGAUAUCUUAGGGAGUGCCAAGCUGAAAUUCAUGCCUGGAUUCAUUUCAAGUCUUUUCCUUGCUGAGAGCUACAGCUGUAGGUUUUCAGGCUGAACUCUAUAGGAAUCUUCUUCCAGAAGGAGAGAAAGGCUGAAAUUAUUUUGUGACUAUGUCUCUUGUGUCCUUUGCAAGUUAUCUUUCCCACCUGAUGUUUUGCACAGAAAGAACUACAAGGAAGGAGGCAGAGCUGGCUCCAAGUCACCUUCUGUGGUAAGUGGACUGCCAAGCAGCCACGUGCUGAUUCUAGUCUGUGUUUCUGCUGGAGCAAGACUGUUUUGUGCUACAUAUUUCCCAGUCUUUCGCCAACCUCCUUUGUUCAUGGAGGGAACAGGAAUCAAACCACUGUGUCAGCGGGAGGAAUUAGCUGGCCAAGAAUAGCUAGAAACAACAGUGCUUCAGCUGAAAUUCACCAGUGGAGUGACUAGUAUGUAUCACUGCAGUGAUGUUUUGCCACUUUCAUUUGGAGGACAGUUUUGUUCACCUGAAAGUCAUCAUGUUUUCAUUCUGUUAUGUUUGAUUCCAUGCAGGGUAGUCCUGAGGGUGUCUCUUCAACCAAAGGGUGGUUCUCAACACUGGAAAUAAAAUUCAUCUAUAAAAAACA
rnacentral:lncRNA from 1 species